rnacentral:rRNA from 1 species
GACGAACGCUGGCGGCGUGCCUAACACAUGCAAGUCGAGCGAGUGAAUCUCCUUCGGGAGUGAAGCUAGCGGCGGACGGGUGAGUAACACGUGGGCAACCUGCCUCAUAGAGGGGAAUAGCCUUUCGAAAGGAAGAUUAAUACCGCAUAAGAUUGUAGCUUCGCAUGAAGUAGCAAUUAAAGGAGCAAUCCGCUAUGAGAUGGGCCCGCGGCGCAUUAGCUAGUUGGUGAGGUAACGGCUCACAAAGGCGACGAUGCGUAGCCGACUUGAGAGGGUGAUCGGCCACAUUGGGACGGAGACACGGCCCAGACUCCUACGGGAGGCAGCAGUGGGGAAUAGUGCACAAUGGGGGAAACCCUGAUGCAGCAACGCCGCGUGAGUGAUGACGGCCCUCGGGUUGUAAAGCUCUGUCUUCAGGGACGAUAAUGACGGUACCUGAGGAGGAAGCCACGGCUAACUACGUGCCAGCCGCCGCGGUAA